rnacentral:misc_RNA from 1 species
GAUGAAGAACGUAGCGAAAUGCGAUAAGUAAUGUGAAUUGCAGAAUUCAGUGAAUCAUCGAAUCUUUGAACGCACAUUGCGCCCGCCAGUAUUCUGGCGGGCAUGCCUGUCUGAGCGUCAUUUCAACCCUCAUGCCCCUAGGGCGUGGUGUUGGGGAUCGGCCAAAGCCCGCGAGGGACGGCCGGCCCCUAAAUCUAGUGGCGGACCCGUCGUGGCCUCCUCUGCGAAGUAGUGAUAUUCCGCAUCGGAGAGCGACGAGCCCCUGCCGUUAAACCCACAACUUUCCAAGGUUGACCUCAGAUCAGGUAGGAAUACCCGCUGAACUUAAGCAUAUCAAUAAGCGGAGGA